rnacentral:lncRNA from 1 species
UCACAUUUCAUUUUCAUACAUAAACAUAACAUAACCGAUAACCUAAAAAUUUAGUAAAAAAGUAAAAAUUUUGAUUGGAAAAAAAUGCAUCGAUAAGGGGGUGUGGGAAAUGGAAAUUAGUGGCUUUUUUGCUGUACUGUCUGCUAGUUUUUGCUCUGGGCACUGGCUAGAUCUCUUGUUUAAACAAUUUUAAUCAGCUGAAAGUGGCCUACAAAAAAAAACCAAGAAGGAAAUGUAUAGCCUUGUGGCUAUGAAAGGCAAAAGAGAGAUAUAAAAAGUGUAUUGGCUAGUUGGAAGAAAGUCCACAUUGUCCAUGCAUAAUAAGUUAUUACAUUAUCAACAAAUAUCAAGAAGAUAGCAGGGUCACGAGCAUCAACUUCAUGAGUUCAAGAAUAUCGAGGAAAUCCAGCUCCUCGAUACUACUGGGCAAACUAGAAGAUUGAAGAGGACAAAUCCUUUUGAACUAGUUUGAGUGAUAGGUGAUAGUGAAAAACGGAGCAUAGUGCUUGUGUGCUGUGCCUGUGUAUGUUAGAAUAGUGCACGAUCUUGUUAGAUUAGAUAAGAGACGCUAUGGGGUAAGCUCUUCAUUUUAAGAAACAGUAGUAAUUUAGGCUAAAUUAAAAUUGCUCAUUGGUCAGUUAUGACCAGAUUGUUUUUUUAUGUUUGGCAAAAAGGACUUAAGUCAGAAUUGCACAUUGAUAAUGUUUUGAUGAUUUCUGGACCAGAAAAAAACUGUUGUAGAUGUAAACUGUAUGUACAGUAGAAUCUACUACAGUACUGUAGAAAUCAUCAAAACAUUAUCGAUGUGCAAUUCUGACUUAAGCCCUUUUUCCCAAACAUCAGAGAAUUGUAAUGUACAAUAAUUCUCCUAUCUGCUUUUUCAUGAAUUUUGUAGGAGACGAAAAACCAUUUUUAGGAUCAUCUGCUUUCACAUGUUUUGUAGUAAAUAGAUAGUUGAAUUUACUACAAAACAUGUCAAAAAAUAUAUGAAAACAGGAGGUGACUAUAAAAAAAGUUUUUAGUCUCUCUUACAAAACUCAUGAAAAAACAAAUCGGAGGUAUGUCACAUCAGUGACUAAGAAUGUCUAAAAAAUAUACUUUGAUGUCCCAAGAACCAAAUAUAACCUACAGUCCAUCUAAUUUACUUACUGUUGCACGUCAUUAUCUACGCCAGAGAUCUAAGUUGACAUAGUUGCCAAAGUAUAAAAAGAUCCUGAAUCCAUUUUAAAUCAAAUAUGUCACAUAAUUAUUGUAAACGUGGAUUAUACAACAAAACAAAUUAAUAUUCAAUGUAAAUAAGUAAAAACUUAAGAAAUAGAGAACAAGAAUUAAGUUAUAAUCUUUUAAGAUUUGCAGUGCAAGAGUUUUUGCACUGCAUUGUUAAUAAUUAAAAAACGGCUCCGAACUCUUGGCAAAAAGCCGGUAGGUUUCUUUGUAUAAGUAUGUCUACAAUAACAACUAAAAAAGUUGUCAGAUACCUCGAUUAUUCCAAGUCGUUAUAAAAUUAGGUGAAAUUUAUAUUUUUAUAGUAGAGGAUCUUUUUAUAGUAAAGUAAAUAAUAAAAACAGUAAAUAUAAUAAAUAAAACAGAUACUUAUAGUAAAGAAUAUAAACAAAUAUGAAGUGUCAUCACCGUAACUGUCAAAUAAAUGUUACCAAUUUAUUCUAAAAUGUCACCUUCGUUCGAUUACAGUUACAGUGUGAUCCGAACAAAUCUGCUUCAUAAAAACGCUUUAUAAUCCAUUUAUACAAAUUAAAUGAAACAUAUUAUUGUGUAUUUCUUUAGGUUAACAUUAAUAGAAAUCUUCAAAUAUUAUUUCUACGCGUAUAUAAUAAAAUAUGUCUAGUGGCUGUAAUUCCAGUGUACUCGGCAAAGUGAUUCUAAAAAAGAACACACCUACCGCCUAAAUAUUUCGUGUUGGUAUCAUGCAACCUCACAGGCUACGACGCGGAUGACGCGCAACAGUUAGUAAAUUAGACGAAGUAUGUAGAUAUAUACAGGGUGUAACAAAAAUACAGGUCAUAAAUUUAAUCACAUAUUCUGGGACCAAAAAUAGUUUGAUUGGACCUAACUUACCUUAGUACAAAUGUGCACACAAGAAAAGUUACAGCCCUUUGAAGUUAUAUAUAUAUAUAUAAUAGCACCAAGGGUCUUAGAGGCCCAUGGCUUGAAAAGUUUGUUUUUUUUCUUCAUUUUCACGUUUCUUUAUGUACUGAGAUCUUCUCUGGCUUGAUAUGUGAUUUUUCUCCAUUCCUUCCUGUUAUUCAUUUUUCUUUUCUGACCCUGUAGCACCAUUCUUUCCAAAUCUUUUUCGACCUCUUGCUUCCAUCUAUUUUUCGGCCUUCCUCUUCUCUUUCUUGAAGCUGUAGUGUAGUUUAGUACCAUUUUUGGAGUCCUCGUGUUUGGCAUCCUUUCAAUGUGACCUCGCCAUCUAAGUCUCUGUGCCUUUAUCAUUCAUUUGAAGUUACAAGAUGAAGUGAUUUUUUCCAAUAUAUCGAAAACUAUUAGAGAUUUUUUAUUGAAAAUGGACAUGUGGCAUUAUUAUGGCAGCAGUAUCUUACGAAAAAACUAUAGUAAAAUUUGGACACCCCAUAAAAAUUUUAUGGGGGUUUUGUUCCUUUAAACCCCCCCAAACUUUUGUGCACGUUUCAAUUUAAUUAUUAUUGUAGUACCAUUUAAACACAACGUUUUAAAAACUUUUUUGCCUCUUAUUGCUUUUUCGGAAAGUCAAUUUUUAUCGAAAUAUUUUGAAUAUUUGUCAAAUCCACCACAUAUUUGUAUAUGGUUAAGUACGAUUAUGGAGACUUGGUAAUAAUAUGCAGACUUAUUUAUGCUUUACAUUUUUAGGGAUAUUUUGAACCAUAUUAAAAAAGAAGCCAGAUCUCGAUAAAAUGUGCCUUAUCGAAAAAAUACAAAGAGGCAAAAAAGUUUUAAAAACAUUCUGUUUAACUAAUGGUACCUCAGUAAUAGUUUAAUUGGAAUGUACACAAACAUUUGGGGGGUUUAAAGGAACAAAACCCCCAUAAAAUUUUUAUGUAGACAUGUUAAAAAAGAAGUCGCAACUCGAUAAAAACUGCCUUAUCUGAAAAAUACUAAGAAACAAAAAUAUUGAAUUUAACUAAUGGUACCACAAUAAUAAAAUUGAAUUGGAACAUACACAAAAGUUUGGGAGGAUCUAAGGGAUCAAAACCCCCAUAAAAUUUUUAUGGGGUGCACAAAUUUCACCAUAAUUUUUCUUUAAGAUAUUCCUGCCAUAAUACUGCCACAUGUCCAUUUUCAAUAAAAAAUCGCUAAUAGUUUUCGAUAUAAUCGAAAAAAUCGAUUUUCAUUUUGUAAUUUCAAAGGGCUGUAACUUUUUUUAUGUGCAUAUUUGUACUAAGGUAAGUUAGGUUCAUUCAAACUAUUUUUGGUCCCAGAAUAUGUGAUUUAAUUUAUGACGUGUAUUUUUGUUACACCCUGUAUAUACAGCCGAUUACGCACCACCCUAAAAAUUGGGCAUUUUUGAUGUCUCGAAUUUCCUAAACCUGUUGUUGCAUCUAAGUGAUUUUUUUAUAAUAUUCUAGCCUAGGCCCUAGGCUAUAGGUUAAGUACCUCCUUAUGCUUGUCAUGCACGGGGAGCUAUACUGUAAUAUAUAUUAUAUCACAUCGCACUCUAUAGUAAUGAGUGAGCCUGCACAUAUGGAACCAUUUGUUUUCUGUCUGCAGGCUCACUCAUUACUAUAGAGAGCGAUAUGAUAUAAUGUACAUAUAUUACAGCAUAGCUCCCUGUGCAUGACAAGCUUAAGGAGGUAACCUAUAGCCUAGGCUAUAAUAUUAUAAAAAAAUCACUUAGAUGAAACAACAGGUUUAGGAAAUACGAGACAUAAAAAAUACCCCAUAUUUAAGGUGGUGCGUUAAUUUCUUGGAGAAGUGUAUUGUAAUUUAAUGUAAAUAAUGUAAUAUCCAAUAAUUGUAAUUUAAUAUAAGAUGUAAUAUAAGUUCCUUAAAAAAUAUAUUUUUUAUUUCCCACGACAUUAGAUGGAUGUUCGGCAGCAAGACAUUGGACCAAACUGGGACGUCCUAUGAAGGCCCAAUUGACGUCCACCGAACGUCCCUUCGGAUGUUAAGUGGACCUCCAUUGGGCGUUUGGUAACGUGGCAUUUGGACCAAAAUUGGACGUCCUGUUAAGGUCCAAUUCACGUCCCCUAGAACGUCCGGUUAAGGUCCAAUUUACUUCCGAUUAAGGUCCAAUUUACGUCCGAUUAAGGUCCCAUUUACGUCCGAUUAAGGUCCAAUUUACGUCCUAUUAAGGUCCAAUUUACGUCCGAUUAAGGUCCAAUUUACGUCCUAUUAAAGUCCAAUUUACGUCCGGUUAAGGUCCAAUUUACGCCCGAUUAAGGUCCCAUUUACGUCCCAUUAAGGUCCAAUUUACGUCCUAUUAAGGUCCAAUUUACGUCCGAUUAAGGUCCAAUUUACGUCCUAUUAAGGUCCAAUUUACGUCCGAUUAAGGUCCAAUUUACGUCCGAUUAAGGUCCAAUUUAUGUCCGAUUAAGGUCCAAUUUACGUCCGAUUAAGGUCCAAUUUAUGUCCGAUUAAGGUCCAAUUUACGUCCGAUUAAGGUCCAAUUUACGUCCCCUAGGACGUCCGAUCAAGGUCCAAAUUACGUCCGAUUAAGGUCCAAUAUACGUCCCCUCGGACCUUAGAUGGACGUUCGGUAGCGCGACAUUUGGACCAAAAUAGGACGUAUAAAGGACGUUCCUCGGACGAAAACGGACGUCCAAUGGACGUCCCUAAAGUCCGUGAAGGACGUCCAUUGGACGUC